GAGCGGCAAUCCUAUUCAAUCAAUCCUUAAAACCCUAUUUUCACACACAAGCGUUUCUCCUUCUUUUCCUUCAAUCCUCCUAUUUUCCUUCAGUCACGCGGCUUCUCAAACACGCUCUCAUACUAUGUCAUCUCUCUUCAAUCAAUCCUUAAAACCCUAAUUUCAAUUUCAUACAUCUCUCUGCAUGUCCAUCGCUGUAUCUUUCAUAAACCCUAAAUCAAGGUGAUUGUGAGAAGGCGGCUGAAAGAAGUGACAUACCCAACCUAGACAAGAUGUUAGUUGAAUUAUGUUCUUUUUAUUGUGUUUGCAUCUACAUAAACGUGUUGCAACUUCUUGUGUUUUUAUUGCAGCCAAUUAGAUGUCUACCUAUAUUCUCCACUUGAUGACUUUAUAUAGUUACUUAGGAUCAGGGAUUUUUAGUUCUUACAAAAGCAAUUGUUGCCUGUAUGGAAGAAAUAGAGCUUCACAUGGGUAAACUCACACCAAAGGAGCCACUCAGAGUGGUCAGUCUCAUUUUGAACGUAUGAUAGCUAACAUUACCUUUUUUUAUGGGAUGAUUGCUCAUCAUCAUUUCACAGUUUCACCAAUAAUACUCAAGCCGGUGAGUUGUAGGUGUCUACUACAGUGAGGAGUUGAGGUUUUCAAUGGACCUUGGUUAGACUAUGCUCCCACUCUCUAUGAGAGGGUGGAAAGCCCAUUCAAGAAGUUUGUUAGCUCUCUAUAUUCAAGCAGGUUAGAGAUAAGAAAGAUGGGAACGAAGCUUUAUUUUAUGUGUACAAGAUACGGAUGAAUUCUCUAUUUCAAGGGCGAAGAGGUGUAGGUCAUGUAACCAUGUUUUGACUACUGCGGAUAUUGAGGAUUGGAUGUAUAACCAGUUGGAUGUUACCAGUAGUCUUUUAUAUAUUCUACUCUAUAUAAGGCAUUGAAUGAAACUGGACUUAACGCGUUGUUGGUCUAAAUGAAGUUGGGCUCAAGUGUAUUUGGGCUGAGUGAAGUUGCACAUAAGGAUAAAGCUAACCAAGUACUAUUAUAUUAACACGAGGUCGAGAAGGUGCCACUCAUCGAUAUAGUCAGCAUGGAACUUUAGAGCAUAUUACUUCAAAAUAUGGUUUUGAAACUUUAGAGUAGAUUACUUCAAAAAAAUUAAAUGUUUGUCGUUACGAGAACAUCACCAUGAUAUAUAUUUAAUCACGUAAAUACUAUUUUCAUACAUUUAUGUUAUUUAACUGUAUAUUGUUUGUCGUUACUUGAACAACACCAUGAUAUAGUUUUGACAUCUAUUUUUUUUUCUUGA